AACGAACGCUGGCGGCAGGCUUAACACAUGCAAGUCGAGCGCCCCGCAAGGGGAGCGGCAGACGGGUGAGUAACGCGUGGGAAUCUACCCAUCUCUACGGAAUAACGCAUGGAAACGCGUGCUAAUACCGUAUACGUCCUUCGGGAUAAAGAUUUAUCGGAGAUGGAUGAGGCCGCGUUGGAUAGUUAGGUGGUGGGGUAAAGGCCUACCAAGGCGACGAUCCAUAGCUGGUCUGAGAGGAUGAUCAGCCACCCUGGGGCUCAGACACAGCCCAGGCACCUACGGGGGGGAGCAGUGGGGAAUAUUGUACAAUGGGAGCAAGCCUGUGCAAGCCAUGCCGCGUGAGUGAGGAAGGCCGUAGGGGUGUAAAGCUCGUUCACCGGUGAAGAGAAUGACGGGAACCGGAGAAGAAGCCCAGGCUAACUUCGUGACAGCCGCCGCGGUAAAAC
rnacentral:rRNA from 1 species